rnacentral:lncRNA from 1 species
CACACAUGUAAAUGAGUCUUCAUUCAAUACAAUUAUAGCAUGGAUAAUAAACGAUUAUCUUGAUACAGGAAUUAUAAUAAUAACUAUAUUUAUUAUUGCCUCUAGGGCAUAAUUCCAACAGUCUUGGAGAAAACCUAUUCUGGACAAAAACAUGAGGCUAGUAUCACAUGCACUUGAAAUCAUCCAAUGGUGCUUAACUCCCGGGGUUAAGGUUUUGGUAGGGUGCCAUACAAGCAUGAAAAAUAUAAAGCAAAUAGAGGAAGGAAAAAUAUGGUUGUAGUGCAAUGUACCAAGUUGGACCAGAACAGAAAGAUGGUUGUUAUGCUAAAUUUUUACAAAGCACAAGGUUGGGUUUUUCCAUAGAAGUGAAUCUCAUGCAUCACUUGACGUCCCCAAUUUUUUAUGGAAUUUUUGAAAUAUUAUUUUUAGGGGUUGUAGUACAAACUCAAAUCUAGACCAGAUUAGAAAAGUAGUUAAUGUGGCAAAAUUUGUCAAAAUACUUGCCUAAGUUUUUCAAAAAUAUGAUCCAG